CAGCAGCCGCGGUAAUACGAAGGGGGCUAGCGUUGUUCGGAAUUACUGGGCGUAAAGGGCGCGUAGGCGGCCAUUCAAGUUAGAUGUGAAAGCCCUGGGCUCAACCUAGGAAUUGCAUUUGAUACCGUUUGGCUUGAGUUCGGGAGAGGUGAGUGGAAUUCCCAGUGUAGAGGUGAAAUUCGUAGAUAUUGGGAAGAACACCAGUGGCGAAGGCGGCUCACUGGACCGACACUGACGCUGAGGCGCGAAAGCGUGGGGAGCAAACAGGAUUAGAUACCCGCGUAGUCCCUGUCUCUUAUAC
rnacentral:rRNA from 1 species